GAGGUCGAGGGGAAGGAGGCCCAACACUUUCCUCCUCGGAAGCCAGCAGCCCAGUAGAGGCUUGAGGAGCGGUUGGUGAGAACUGUCCCCAGUCAUCUUAGCCCCACCUCCUCCUUCUGGGAGGCAGGGUUUGAGGAGGGUGGACGGUUCCUGAAUCCCUUCCAAGCUUGACACUGUGCGCUCACAGAUGUACAGGGAACAGCGGUGACCACGGGAUGAGGAGGAGAAUCCAUCUGCUCAGAGGCGUGAGACCUCAGAAUUUCAAAUGUCCAGUGGAUCUGUGAGUUCAGCUUUCUGGGUGUUGAGUCGCAAGAUCUACUGUUGCAUUUCCGAAGACUCUGGUGUUGGCAUUCUUUUGUGGCAGUGAUCGUGAAGAUUGGGCUUUCUUUUUAAUUCCUUUGACCAUCAGGGCCCUAGGAAGCAAGCGACGACGAGUCACCGGAUGUAUUUGCCACACUGACCCACUUAGAAGAGGCACCCCCAUCUUAUAGACGAGAACACUGGCUCAGAGAGGUUGAACGGCUCCCUUUGCCCUCAUUCUGGUAAGUGAUAAACUAGGAAUUGAAACCGCUAUGGAGUUCACCUCUGUUGGAAAUGCUCCAGGACAUCUUUGGAUCUGUGGGAAACCCUGCUUGUGCCCUGAAGUUAACGAAAGCUAAAAUUCUCUCGUCAUGGGUCUGGAGUGAUGGCUCGGCGGUUCAGAGUACUUGCUGCUCUUGAGGAGAGCUUGGGUUUGGUUCCCAGCACCUAUGACUCUAGUUCCAGGGCAUCUAAAGCCUUCUUCUGACUUCCGUGGGCACACGGUACACAUUCAUUCAUUCUCAUCACAGGGUUUAAUGUCCAAUGACAUGACCACAGGUAACACCCGUGGGAAAAUCUCAGGAAAUUUUCACAGGAAAGUGUAAUUCAUAACAUUUACAUGGUCCAGUUAAUGUUUACUCAAAUUUCAGUUUUCUGAGUACUAAUAAAAAUUGCCUCCAAA